AUACUUACCUGGCAGGGGAGAUACCAUGAUCAUGUAGGUGGUUCACCCAGGGCGAGGCUCAGCCAUUGCACUGAGGCUGUCUGACCUCUGCGAAUUCCCCAAAUGUGGGAAUCUCUACUGCAUAAUAUCUGGUAGUGGGGGACUGCGUUCGCGCUCUUCCCUG
rnacentral:snRNA from 1 species